GAUGAACGCUGGCGGCGUGCCUAAUACAUGCCAGUCGAGCGAACAGACGAGGAGCUUGCUCCUCUGACGUUAGCGGCGGACGGGUGAGUAACACGUGGAUAACCUACCUAUAAGACUGGGAUAACUUCGGGAAACCGGAGCUAAUACCGGAUAAUAUAUUGAACCGCAUGGUUCAAUAGUGAAAGACGGUUUUGCUGUCACUUAUAGAUGGAUCCGCGCCGCAUUAGCUAGUUGGUAAGGUAACGGCUUACCAAGGCAACGAUGCGUAGCCGACCUGAGAGGGUGAUAGGCCACACUGGAACGGAGACACGGUCGAUACUCCUACGGGAGGCAGCAGUAGGGAAUCUUCCGCAAUGGGCGAAAGCCUGACGGAGCAACGCCGCGUGAGUGAUGAAAGUCUUCGGAUCGUAAUACUCUGUUAUUAGUGAAGAACAAAUGUGUAAGUAGCUAUGCACGUCUUGACGGUACCUAAUCAGAAAGCCACGGCUAACUACGUG
rnacentral:rRNA from 1 species